AGUGAACGCUGGCGGUAGGCCUAACACAUGCAAGUCGAACGGCAGCACAGUAAGAGCUUGCUCUUACGGGUGGCGAGUGGCGGACGGGUGAGGAAUACAUCGGAAUCUACUUUUUCGUGGGGGAUAACGUAGGGAAACUUACGCUAAUACCGCAUACGACCUACGGGUGAAAGCAGGGGAUCUUCGGACCUUGCGCGAUUGGAUGAGCCGAUGUCGGAUUAGCUAGUUGGCGGGGUAAAGGCCCACCAAGGCGACGAUCCGUAGCUGGUCUGAGAGGAUGAUCAGCCACACUGGAACUGAGACCCGGUCCAGACUCCUACGGGAGGCAGCAGUGGGGAAUAUUGGACAAUGGGCGCAAGCCUGAUCCAGCCAUACCGCGUGGGUGAAGAAGGCCUUCGGGUUGUAAAGCCCUUUUGUUGGGAAAGAAAAGCAGCAGGUUAAUACCCCGCUGUUCUGACGGUACCCAAAGAAUAAGCACCGGCUAACUUCGUG
rnacentral:rRNA from 1 species